rnacentral:rRNA from 1 species
GACGAACGCUGGCGGCGUGCCUAACACAUGCAAGUUGAGCGACGAACCAGGGCUUGCCCUGGGGCAAAGCAGCGAACGGGUGAGUAACACGUGGGUAACCUACCCCGAUAACCGGGACAACCCGAGGAAACUCGGGCUAAUACCGGAUGUGCUCACUGGACUUCGGUUCAGUGCGUAAAGGAAGCUUCGGCCUCCGUAUCGGGAGGGGCCCGCGGCCCAUUAGUUUGUUGGUGAGGUAACGGCUCACCAAGACCGCGAUGGGUAGCUGGUCUGAGAGGACGAUCAGACACACUGGGACUGAGACACGGCCCAGACUCCUACGGGAGGCAGCAGUGGGGAAUCUUGCGAAAUGCGCGAAAGCGUGACGCAGCAACGCCGCGUGGGGGAAGAAGGCCUUCGGGUUGUAAACCCCUUUCAGGAGGGACGAAGGUUCGGCGGUGAAUAGCCGUCCGGACUGACGGUACCUCCACAAGAAGCCCCGGCUAACUACGUG